GACGUAGGGCGCAAGCGUUGUCCGGAUUUAUUGGGCGUAAAGAGCUCGUAGGCGGUUCCGUAAGUCGUGAAGUCAAAUCUCUGGGCUCAACCCAGAAUCGCUUCCGAUACUGCGGUGACUGGAGUCCGGUAGGGGAGUGUGGAAUUCCUGGUGUAGCGGUGAAAUGCGCAGAUAUCAGGAGGAACACCAACAGCGAAGGCAGCACUCUGGGCCGGUACUGACGCUGAGGAGCGAAAGCAUGGGGAGCGAACAGG
rnacentral:rRNA from 1 species